UGGGUUAAGGUGAACUUGGGUUUGUGGUCAGGGCUGCCCUGUUGCCACUGGACAUGCUGCCACCUCUCCCACCAAUUGCCCCUUCUGGGACAACUGCCACACAGAGGCUGGGGAAUUCUGGCCAGCAGAAUGCACCGGAGGCAUAGUGUGACCCUGCCUAUAAACGGCUCAUUGCCCGGGAGCAGCAGACAGCCCUAGCAGUUUCCGAUCUGCAAUCUGCUCCAGCGGUGUGACUCAGUGCUAGUUUGCCCAGCACAGGUGAGGUUCUAGGUUGGAUCUCCAGCACCAGAAAAAGAAAAAAAAAAUGCAGCCAGAUGCAGUAGUUCACACCAAUCAAUCCCAGCUACUUGGAAGGCCUAGGCAGAACUUAGAGGUAAUGCUCUUGCUAGCACAUGCUAGGCCCUGGAUCCAACCAAGUACUUCAAAACAAAAGUAGGUUUGGAGGAGUGGCUCAGGUGGUUGAGCACUAGCCAGUGAGCAAAAGGGUUAGGUAACAGUUCCAUUCCCAGUCUUGGGAAACAAAACAAAACAAAA